GUUUUCCCUUCAGCAGCACACAUGCUAAAAUUAGAAUGAUCCAGAGUUAGUAUAGCACCUGGAUAAGGGCAACAUGCAACCUCAUGAAGUGUUCUACAGUCUA
ensembl:snRNA U6 U6 spliceosomal RNA